rnacentral:rRNA from 1 species
CGAGCGCAGGUGGUUUAUUAAGUCUGGUGUAAAAGGCAGUGGCUCAACCAUUGUAUGCAUUGGAAACUGGUAGACUUGAGUGCAGGAGAGGAGAGUGGAAUUCCAUGUGUACGCGGUGAAAUGCGUAGAUAUAUGGAGGAACACCGGUGGCGAAAGCGGCUCUCUGGCCUGUAACUGACACUGAGGCUCGAAAGCGUGGGGAGCAA